UAUAUUCAUAGAAUGAUCAAAACAGACCAGCUUUUUAAAUGGAACCGAUGAAUUACAAGUGUUGGAUUUUGGCUAUUUUUCUUCUUUUCAUAGCUGAGCCAUUGUCUUCCUCCGAUUCGGGAACGACGCCACACCACCAACACACAAGCCAUACACAACAUCAUAGUGAGCACCAUAGUAGCAACCAUUCAAACCACACUGGACACCACGAGGAGCAUCAUUAUGACCAUAGUCAUGAGUCACACCAUCACUCGAUAGAUGGAGACACACACAAACACGAAGAUGAUGUUGAACACGAGUCUCAUCACAGCAG